UACGGAGGGUGCAAGCGUUGUUCGGAAUUACUGGGCGUAAAGCGCGUGUAGGCGGUCUUGUAAGUCGGAUGUGAAAGCCCUCGGCUCAACCGGGGAAGUGCAUCCGAUACUGCAAGACUUGAGUACUGGAGAGGAAAGGGGAAUUCCCGGUGUAGAGGUGAAAUUCGUAGAUAUCGGGAGGAACACCAGCGGCGAAGGCGCCUUUCUGGACAGAUACUGACGCUGAGACGCGAAAGCGUGGGGAGCAAACAGG
rnacentral:misc_RNA from 1 species